UAGGGAAUUUUGCGCAAUGGGCGAAAGCCUGACGCAGCAACACCGCGUGAACGACGAAGCCUUUUGGGGUGUAAAGUUCUGUCAGCAGGGAAGAAUAAAUGACUGUACCUGCAAAGGAAGCAUCGGCUAACUACGUGCCAGCAGCCGCGGUAAGACGUAGGAUGCAAGCGUUGUCCGGAAUUAUUGGGCGUAAAGAGUUCGUAGGCGGCAUAAUAAGUCUGGUGUUAAAUCUCGGAGCUCAACUCCGAACAGGCACUGGAUACUAUUAAGCUAGAGUACAGAAGAGGCAAGGGGAAUUCCUAGUGUAGCGGUGAAAUGCGUAGAUAUUAGGAGGAACACCAGUGGCGUAAGCGCCUUGCUGGGCUGUUACUGACGCUGAGGAACGAAAGCCAGGGGAGCAAAUGGG
rnacentral:rRNA from 1 species